rnacentral:rRNA from 1 species
GCCUUGCGCUAUCAGAUGAGCCUAGGUCGGAUUAGCUAGUUGGUGGGGUAAUGGCUCACCAAGGCGACGAUCCGUAACUGGUCUGAGAGGAUGAUCAGUCACACUGGAACUGAGACACGGUCCAGACUCCUACGGGAGGCAGCAGUGGGGAAUAUUGGACAAUGGGCGAAAGCCUGAUCCAGCCAUGCCGCGUGUGUGAAGAAGGUCUUCGGAUUGUAAAGCACUUUAAGUUGGGAGGAAGGGUUGUAGAUUAAUACUCUGCAAUUUUGACGUUACCGACAGAAUAAGCACCGGCUAACUCUGUGCCAGCAGCCGCGGUAAUACAGAGGGUGCAAGCGUUAAUCGGAAUUACUGGGCGUAAAGCGCGCGUAGGUGGUUAGUUAAGUUGGAUGUGAAAUCCCCGGGCUCAACCUGGGAACUGCAUUCAAAACUGACUGA